rnacentral:tRNA from 1 species
AUGGCAGAUUAGUGCAUUGGAUUUAAACCCCAAAAAUAAAUUUAUUUUU